GGUAGAGUGAGAUUGGAUAGGUGAUGCUCAACGGCUCUAGAUUAGGUAAAUUAGUGUGUUUGAGGAGUGGUAGCUUGUGUUACAGUGUGGCAGAGGUAGGUCUGUGUGUGGAGCCUGGACAUGGUGUGCUAUAUAUAGAUAUGCUGUAAGGUGCUAAAGAACAUAUAAAAACAUUGCUUCAUCUUGCCUAUACGUCAAGGUAGCAUCCCUGCGUAAUCUAAGCAUAAGUAUUUUCUGCAUUAUCAAGGGUUAACUGGUCUGAUUCAAA